rnacentral:rRNA from 1 species
GGUUAAGCGACUAAGCGUACACGGUGGAUGCCCUGGCAGUCAGAGGCGAUGAAGGGCGUGCUAAUCUGCGAUAAGCGCCGGUAAGGUGAUAUGAACCGUUAUAACCGGCGAUACCCGAAUGGGGAAACCCAGUGUGACUCGUCACACUAUCAUUAACUGAAUCCAUAGGUUAAUGAGGCGAACCGGGGGAACUGAAACAUCUAAGUACCCCGAGGAAAAGAAAUCAACCGAGAUUCCCCCAGUAGCGGCGAGCGAACGGGGAGGAGCCCAGAGCCUGAAUCAGCAUGUGUGUUAGUGGAAGCGUCUGGAAAGGCGCGCGAUACAGGGUGACAGCCCCGUACACAAAAGCGCAUGUGCUGUGAGCUCGAUGAGUAGGGCGGGACACGUGGUAUCCUGUCUGAAUAUGGGGGGACCAUCCUCCAAGGCUAAAUACUCCUGACUGACCGAUAGUGAACCAGUACCGUGAGGGAAAGGCGAAAAGAACCCCGGCGAGGGGAGUGAAAAAGAACCUGAAACCGUGUACGUACAAGCAGUGGGAGCCCCACCACUAAGCCAGUGGUGAACUCCACAUACGCAUCCUUUGCUGAGGAUACGGUUAACGGAGCGAAAGCGACGUUCAACCUCAAAAGAAGCAGAGGGGGCUUAGUGGUGGGGUGACUGCGUACCUUUUGUAUAAUGGGUCAGCGACUUAUAUUCUGUAGCAAGGUUAACCGAAUAGGGGAGCCGGAGGGAAACCGAGUCUUAACCGGGCGUUAAGUUGCAGGGUAUAGACCCGAAACCCGGUGAUCUAGCCAUGGGCAGGUUGAAGGUUGGGUAACACUAACUGGAGGACCGAACCGACUAAUGUUGAAAAAUUAGCGGAUGACCUGUGGCUGGGGGUGAAAGGCCAAUCAAACCGGGAGAUAGCUGGUUCUCCCCGAAAGCUAUUUAGGUAGCGCCUCGUGAAUUCAUCUCCGGGGGUAGAGCACUGUUUCGGCUAGGGGGCCAUCCCGGCUUACCAACCCGAUGCAAACUGCGAAUACCGGAGAAUGUUAUCACGGGAGACACACGGCGGGUGCUAACGUCCGUCGUGAAGAGGGAAACAACCCAGACCGCCAGCUAAGGUCCCAAAGUCAUGGUUAAGUGGGAAACGAUGUGGGAAGGCCCAGACAGCCAGGAUGUUGGCUUAGAAGCAGCCAUCAUUUAAAGAAAGCGUAAUAGCUCACUGGUCGAGUCGGCCUGCGCGGAAGAUGUAACGGGGCUAAACCAUGCACCGAAGCUGCGGCAGCGACACUGUGUGUUGUUGGGUAGGGGAGCGUUCUGUAAGCCUGUGAAGGUGGCCUGUGAGGGUUGCUGGAGGUAUCAGAAGUGCGAAUGCUGACAUAAGUAACGAUAAAGCGGGUGAAAAGCCCGCUCGCCGGAAGACCAAGGGUUCCUGUCCAACGUUAAUCGGGGCAGGGUGAGUCGACCCCUAAGGCGAGGCCGAAAGGCGUAGUCGAUGGGAAACGGGUUAAUAUUCCCGUACUUGGUGUUACUGCGAAGGGGGGACGGAGAAGGCUAUGUUGGCCGGGCGACGGUUGUCCCGGUUUAAGCGUGUAGGUGUGUGUUCCAGGUAAAUCCGGUUCACUUUAACACUGAGGCGUGAUGACGAGGCACUACGGUGCUGAAGCAACAAAUGCCCUGCUUCCAGGAAAAGCCUCUAAGCAUCAGGUAACAUCAAAUCGUACCCCAAACCGACACAGGUGGUCAGGUAGAGAAUACCAAGGCGCUUGAGAGAACUCGGGUGAAGGAACUAGGCAAAAUGGUGCCGUAACUUCGGGAGAAGGCACGCUGACACGUAGGUGAAGUGAUUUACUCACGGAGCUGAAGUCAGUCGAAGAUACCAGCUGGCUGCAACUGUUUAUUAAAAACACAGCACUGUGCAAACACGAAAGUGGACGUAUACGGUGUGACGCCUGCCCGGUGCCGGAAGGUUAAUUGAUGGGGUCAGCGCAAGCGAAGCUCCUGAUCGAAGCCCCGGUAAACGGCGGCCGUAACUAUAACGGUCCUAAGGUAGCGAAAUUCCUUGUCGGGUAAGUUCCGACCUGCACGAAUGGCGUAAUGAUGGCCAGGCUGUCUCCACCCGAGACUCAGUGAAAUUGAACUCGCUGUGAAGAUGCAGUGUACCCGCGGCAAGACGGAAAGACCCCGUGAACCUUUACUAUAGCUUGACACUGAACACUGGUCCUUGAUGUGCAGGAUAGGUGGGAGGCUUUGAAGCGCGGACGCCAGUUCGUGUGGAGCCAUCCUUGAAAUACCACCCUUUAAUGGCUGGUGUUCUAACGUAGACCCGUGAUCCGGGUUGCGGACAGUGUCUGGUGGGUAGUUUGACUGGGGCGGUCUCCUCCUAAAGAGUAACGGAGGAGCACGAAGGUUAGCUAAUCCUGGUCGGACAUCAGGAGGUUAGUGCAAAGGCAUAAGCUAGCUUGACUGCGAGCGUGACGGCGCGAGCAGGUGCGAAAGCAGGUCUUAGUGAUCCGGUGGUUCUGAAUGGAAGGGCCAUCGCUCAACGGAUAAAAGGUACUCCGGGGAUAACAGGCUGAUACCGCCCAAGAGUUCAUAUCGACGGCGGUGUUUGGCACCUCGAUGUCGGCUCAUCACAUCCUGGGGCUGAAGUAGGUCCCAAGGGUAUGGCUGUUCGCCAUUUAAAGUGGUACGCGAGCUGGGUUUAGAACGUCGUGAGACAGUUCGGUCCCUAUCUGCCGUGGGCGCUGGAGAACUGAGGGGGGCUGCUCCUAGUACGAGAGGACCGGAGUGGACGCAUCACUGGUGUUCGGGUUGUCAUGCCAAUGGCACUGCCCGGUAGCUAAAUGCGGAAGAGAUAAGUGCUGAAAGCAUCUAAGCACGAAACUUGCCCCGAGAUGAGUUCUCCCUGAGACUUAGAGUCUCCUGAAGGAACGUUGAAGACGACGACGUUGAUAGGCCGGGUGUGUAAGCGCAGCGAUGCGUUGAGCUAACCGGUACUAAUGAACCGUGAGGCUUAACCUU